rnacentral:piRNA from 1 species
UACUAGGGAUCCUGUUAAAACAGGAGUGUGC